rnacentral:rRNA from 1 species
GGUUAAGCGACUAAGCGUACACGGUGGAUGCCCUGGCAGUCAGAGGCGAUGAAGGACGUGCUAAUCUGCGAAAAGCGUCGGUAAGGUGAUAUGAACCGUUAUAACCGGCGAUGUCCGAAUGGGGAAACCCAGUGUGAUUCGUCACACUAUCGUUAACUGAAUACAUAGGUUAACGAGGCGAACCGGGGGAACUGAAACAUCUAAGUACCCCGAGGAAAAGAAAUCAACCGAGAUUCCCCCAGUAGCGGCGAGCGAACGGGGAGCAGCCCAGAGUCUGAAUCAGCUUGUGUGUUAGUGGAACGGUCUGGAAAGUCCGACGGUACAGGGUGAUAGUCCCGUACACCAAAAUGCACAGGCUGUGAACUCGAAGAGUAGGGCGGGACACGUGGUAUCCUGUCUGAAUAUGGGGGGACCAUCCUCCAAGGCUAAAUACUCCUGACUGACCGAUAGUGAACCAGUACCGUGAGGGAAAGGCGAAAAGAACCCCGGCGAGGGGAGUGAAAAAGAACCUGAAACCGUGUACGUACAAGCAGUGGGAGCACCUUCGGGUGUGACUGCGUACCUUUUGUAUAAUGGGUCAGCGACUUAUAUUCUGUAGCAAGGUUAACCGUAUAGGGGAGCCGCAGGGAAACCGAGUCUUAACUGGGCGUUAAGUUGCAGGGUAUAGACCCGAAACCCGGUGAUCUAGCCAUGGGCAGGUUGAAGGUUGGGUAACACUAACUGGAGGACCGAACCGACUAAUGUUGAAAAAUUAGCGGAUGACUUGUGGCUGGGGGUGAAAGGCCAAUCAAACCGGGAGAUAGCUGGUUCUCCCCGAAAGCUAUUUAGGUAGCGCCUCGUGAAUGCAUCUUCGGGGGGUAGAGCACUGUUUCGGCUAGGGGGUCAUCCCGACUUACCAACCCGAUGCAAACUACGAAUACCGAAGAAUGUUAUCACGGGAGACACACGGCGGGUGCUAACGUCCGUCGUGAAGAGGGAAACAACCCAGACCGCCAGCUAAGGUCCCAAAGUCAUGGUUAAGUGGGAAACGAUGUGGGAAGGCACAGACAGCCGGGGAUGUUGGCUUAGAAGCAGCCAUCAUUUAAAGAAAGCGUAAUAGCUCACUGGUCGAGUCGGCCUGCGCGGAAGAUGUAACGGGGGCUAAACCAUGCACCGAAGCUGCGGCAGCGACACUAUGUGUUGUUGGGUAGGGGAGCGUUCUGUAAGCCUGCGAAGGUGUGCUGUGAGGCAUGCUGGAGGUAUCAGAAGUGCGAAUGCUGACAUAAGUAACGAUAAAGCGGGUGAAAAGCCCGCUCGCCGGAAGACCAAGGGUUCCUGUCCAACGUUAAUCGGGGCAGGGUGAGUCGACCCCUAAGGCGAGGCCGAAAGGCGUAGUCGAUGGGAAACAGGUUAAUAUUCCUGUACUUGGUGUUACUGCGAAGGGGGGACGGAGAAGGCUAUGUUAGCCGGGCGACGGUUGUCCCGGUUUAAGCAUGUAGGCUGAUUGUCCAGGCAAAUCCGGAUAAUCAAGGCUGAGGUGUGAUGACGAGGCACUACGGUGCUGAAGUAACAAAUGCCCUGCUUCCAGGAAAAGCCUCUAAGCAUCAGGUAACAUUAAAUCGUACCCCAAACCGACACAGGUGGUCAGGUAGAGAAUACCAAGGCGCUUGAGAGAACUCGGGUGAAGGAACUAGGCAAAAUGGUGCCGUAACUUCGGGAGAAGGCACGCUGGUGUGUAGGUGAAGCCCCUGCGGGUGGAGCUGAGACCAGUCGAAGAUACCAGCUGGCUGCAACUGUUUAUUAAAAACACAGCACUGUGCAAACACGAAAGUGGACGUAUACGGUGUGACGCCUGCCCGGUGCCGGAAGGUUAAUUGAUGGGGUUAUCCGUAAGGAGAAGCUCUUGAUCGAAGCCCCGGUAAACGGCGGCCGUAACUAUAACGGUCCUAAGGUAGCGAAAUUCCUUGUCGGGUAAGUUCCGACCUGCACGAAUGGCGUAAUGAUGGCCAGGCUGUCUCCACCCGAGACUCAGUGAAAUUGAACUCGCUGUGAAGAUGCAGUGUACCCGCGGCAAGACGGAAAGACCCCGUGAACCUUUACUAUAGCUUGACACUGAACAUUGAGCCUUGAUGUGUAGGAUAGGUGGGAGGCUUUGAAGCGUGGACGCCAGUCUGCGUGGAGCCAACCUUGAAAUACCACCCUUUAAUGUUUGAUGUUCUAACGUUGGCCCCUGACCGGGGUUGCGGACAGUGUCUGGUGGGUAGUUUGACUGGGGCGGUCUCCUCCCAAAGCGUAACGGAGGAGCACGAAGGUUAGCUAAUCCCCGGUCGGACAUCAGGAGGUUAGUGCAAUGGCAUAAGCUAGCUUGACUGCGAGCGUGACGGCGCGAGCAGGUGCGAAAGCAGGUCAUAGUGAUCCGGUGGUUCUGAAUGGAAGGGCCAUCGCUCAACGGAUAAAAGGUACUCCGGGGAUAACAGGCUGAUACCGCCCAAGAGUUCAUAUCGACGGCGGUGUUUGGCACCUCGAUGUCGGCUCAUCACAUCCUGGGGCUGAAGUAGGUCCCAAGGGUAUGGCUGUUCGCCAUUUAAAGUGGUACGCGAGCUGGGUUUAGAACGUCGUGAGACAGUUCGGUCCCUAUCUGCCGUGGGCGCUGGAGAAUUGAGGGGGGCUGCUCCUAGUACGAGAGGACCGGAGUGGACGCAUCACUGGUGUUCGGGUUGUCAUGCCAAUGGCACUGCCCGGUAGCUAAAUGCGGAAGAGAUAAGUGCUGAAAGCAUCUAAGCACGAAACUUGCCCCGAGAUGAGUUCUCCCUGAGACUUUAAGUCUCCUGAAGGAACGUUGAAGACGACGACGUUGAUAGGCCGGGUGUGUAAGCGCAGCGAUGCGUUGAGCUAACCGGUACUAAUGAACCGUGAGGCUUAACCUU